UACGUAGGGGGCAAGCGUUGUCCGGAAUUAUUGGGCGUAAAGCGCGCGCAGGCGGUUCUUUAAGUCUGGUGUUUAAGUUCGGGGCUCAACCCCGUGCCGCACUGGAAACUGGAGAACUUGAGUGCAGCAGAGGAAAGCGGAAUUCCACGUGUAGCGGUGAAAUGCGUAGAGAUGUGGAGGAACACCAGUGGCGAAGGCGGCUUUCUGGGCUGUAACUGACGCUGAGGCGCGAAAGCGUGGGGAGCAAACAGG
rnacentral:rRNA from 1 species